GAUCGGCCCGCGUCUGAUUAGCUAGUUGGUGGGGUAAAAGCCUACCAAGGCGACGAUCGGUAGCUGUUCUGAGAGGAAGAUCAGCCACACAGGGACUGAGACACGGCCCAGGCUCCUACGGGAGGCAGCAGUUGGGAAUCUUGGACAAUGGGGGAAACCCUGAUCCAGCCAUGCCGCGUGAGUGAUGAAGGCCUUCGGGUUGUAAAACUCUUUCGCGCACGACGAUAAUGACGGUAGUGCGAGAAGAAGCUCCGGCUAACUUCGUGCCAGCAGCCGCGGUAAUACGAAGGGGGCUAGCGUUGUUCGGAAUUACUGGGCGUAAAGCGCGCGCAGGCGGUUCUUCAAGUCAGUGGUGAAAGCCCGGAGCUCAACUCCGGAAUUGCCAUUGAAACUGUAGAACUUGAGGAUGAGAGAGGUGAGUGGAAUUCCCAGUGUAGAGGUGAAAUUCGUAGAUAUUGGGAAGAACACCGGUGGCGAAAGCGGCUCACUGGCUCAUUUCUGACGCUCANGCGCGACAGCGUGGGGAUUCAACAGGAUUAGAUUCCCUGGUAGUCCACGCCCUAAACGAUGAAAGCCUACCGUUGGAUAGCUUGCUAUUCGAGGGCGCCACCUAAGCAUUAGCCAUUCCGCCCGGGGGAGU
rnacentral:rRNA from 1 species